rnacentral:misc_RNA from 1 species
UGUGCUGACGUCAAUUUGUUUACAGUUGAGGGGUCUGGUGUGCGUCAGGCAGCACGGGGAGGGAUAAAAGUGGCGUGCAUAUUCUCAUUGUUCUGCCACAUAUUCUCCAUAUUUCCAUCAUCCGAGAACUGAUACCUUAGAGAUGGCGAAAGCAGUGCCCCAGAGCAUCAGACUCAAGCCUCACCGGGAACUCUUCGAUCCUGACUUCGAGGGGUACAAGCUAUCCAGUGACAGCGAACUAACAGUCUACUCACGCCCAGCCUCUGACGGCGUGCAGCACAAGGUCUGUCAAUCGACAUGUUACCUGCACACCAGACUGCAGGCGCUUCAUAACCACCUGUUCCAAGACCCAUUCCACCCCCUCACUGUGUACUUCUUCAACACCAAAGGCCACCUGGUUAGGUGCAGCUACUCAGAGGAAUCAAGACUGAGUGCAGGAGAGGUAACGUGGCUGGCAGAGGUUGGUGAAGCUGAAGGGGAGGAAGACUAUCACUAUCCAUCAAGCCUCAAGUUUCCAACCUCUGACCUGGCCGUGGUGUCAGAUGGCCGAGGGAAGCUGACUGUUCUGAAGACUGAUGACCGCACCAGCACACGCAGCUGGGUGACAAAUUUUGAAACAAAGAGUGACCACGGUGUGCUUGCCUAUGCAGGGGUGAAGGGUGACAACAGGGAGCUACACUGUCUCCUUGUCUCCAUCACAUCACCAAGCAAACUCCACGAGGAUCCAGAUCUUGUGGUAGCAGAUGAGGCUUUUUGCUCCAAAACAGACACCACAGUGCACCUCAUCCGGUGGCUUGUUCUUACUGAGAAAGAAUCAGGAUGGGAGGUUAGCUGCAGUAGGAUGGUAGCUGGCCGAGGUGUGCUGGAGUACUGUGCUGUGGACAGUGAAGGAACUGGCCUCCUGCUGCUGUGCCAUUCCAACUAUUUCUUUGUGGGUGAUUCAGUGAAGCCUGUCACCAAGCCAAAUCCUCAACCAGAAAAGUCAUCCAAAGAACAACCAAAGUUUACCUUUCAGCAGAAUGAUGAGGAUGUCACUGUUUGGCUGAAGGUAGGGUCAGCCACCAAGGAUGAGAUGCAGGUUAAAAUCACUGUGAAUGAGUUGGAUUUAUGCAUUAAGGACACACCAUCCCUCCAGGCACACUUCCUGCACCCCAUCAAAGCAGACUUGGCAACGUGGACCAUUGGUGAUGAAAAGCUUGAGUUGGUGCUGCCAAAGGCCAUCAAGGGGGAGAGGUGGCAGUCCCUUUUCUCUGAGGAUGACAUGUGGGGGGAAGAAGUGCUUGACCCAGCCAUGCUGGAGGAAAUAAACCAGAACCUUGCCCAUCUCACCUCAGACAAACUGAACCCUGACCCAAACCUAGACAAGCCGGCAUAUGACCCUGAGCAGCUUGAGGACUGUGACACGGCGGCUGAGGACCUACUUCUCAUUCGGUUGGAUGGCUCCUCCCACCAGCUGACCAACUAUGGCCAGCUGGGAGCCACUCAACACCUCUUCAAUAUGCAGGUGGAUGAGGUGAGUGUGCCAGCUUUCUGCAUCAGGCAUGACGUGGAUGGUGUAUUGUGGCAGCCAAAGAGGGAAGUCCAGUUUGACCACCUGGCCACCUAUCAUGCCUUUGGCUUCGUGAGGGCCUCCAAGACCACUGCCAAGUUUACAUGUGGAGCACAAGAUCUGUCGUAUGUGGCUGUGGCAGAAGUGCGGAGUCACGUGUACAUGUUCUUCCAGCCUGAGGUGCUGCAGGGGGAGCUGCGGAACAGGAAGUCAGGCCGCCGCCUCCACAAAGUGUCCCGCCAGCUGGUGAUCUCCCUCAAGAGCCACUCUGAGGUGCUGGGUCUGUAUGCCACACCCAGCAUUCUCUUUGUGCUCACAGACCAUACACUGUAUGCCUACUGUGUGCAGAACUCCUAGUGUUGUGAAUGGUGGAUCAUUUGAGUGGCGGUGAAAUCUUUGUACUCUCCACCGUGGCGCUGUUUCAAGCGUGGGGAACAGGGGAACUCACACCAGGAAGCAAGGUUAGAAGCGGUGACGUGACAUCAAUUCAAUAUCGACCCUUCAUCAGUCAGAUCUGUUCCAUCUAAUAUUUAUAUCAGGGAAUAAUAGUAGUAGUAGUAGUAGUAGUAGUAGUAGUAGUAGUAGUAGCAGCAGUAGUAGUUAUUGUAUGUACGAGUGUGUUAUCAUCAUUUACACUCUACGUUACUACUACUACUAUUAGUACAACAAAAAAUAACAAUUACUAGUACUACUAUAAAUUCAUCUACUCCUAAGUAGUUAGUGUGUUUCAAGUAUAGAUAAGACGCAGUGUAACGUAUGAAUAGCUACUGGUUGCUUCAAAGGUUUAUCUGCUAUUUAGUCAUUGUAUAAGUAUCUAUAAAUAUGUUCCAAGUGUCGAUGUGUAAUGUGUAGUGUAUAGACAGGUGUAAAGGUGUGUAUAAUGUGGUUCUGCGCUCCUAAAGGUAAAGAACGUUCUAAGGUGAUGCUUUUGAGAUCUUGCAAUGGGCCAGUGUUCCUACGAACGUACUCUAAAACAAUCUUGUCAGAGUCUUGUAUCUGAGUAUCGUUGAGUCUGAUUCGCUUGUAAUGACGUUGUAAGAAUUUGUCUUUAUCCAUUGCAUUCAUAUUGAAGACUUAAAUAAGAACUGAUGUAGCAAUGUUUCCUUUUCAGGGCAUGUAAGCGUUUCAGUAUUACUCACUGCUCGUUUGUUUUCACCAUAUGAGUGAAGUGAGCACAAUGUUCAGUUCGUUUAGGAAUAAAAAGAAGUUCAGAGUUGCUUUGUUUUUAGGAAAGUUCUGGAGUUCUGUAUCGCAACUUUGCUUAUCUUCUUAAGUGCCAUAUUUGUUGUUAUUAUCGAUGCUCAUUUGUUUUUCUCUGUACAAGCUAUUCAAGGUAGAUGUUGUGAAGUU